rnacentral:rRNA from 1 species
GACGAACGCUGGCGGCGUGCCUAAUACAUGCAAGUCGAACGCAGUGGGGACGGGUGAGUAACACGUGGGUAACCUCCCAUCAGAGGGGAUAACACUUGGAAACAGGUGCUAAACCGAUACUGAUGGAUGGACCGGGGGUUCAUUAGCUAGUUGGGGAGGUAACGGCUCACCAAGGCCACGACGCAUAGCCGACCUGGGAGGUUGUGGGGCCACACUGGGACUGAGACCCGGCCCAGACUCCGACGGGAGGCAGCAGUAGGGAAUCUUCGGCAAUGGACGAAAGUCUGACCGAGCAACGCCGCGUGAGUGAAGAAGGUUUUCGGAUCGUAAAACUCUGUGGUUAGAGAAGCGGUAUCUAACCAGAAAGCCACGGCUAACUACGUGCCAGCAGCCGCGGUAAUUC